rnacentral:rRNA from 1 species
GAACGCUGGCGGUGCGCCUUAUGCAUGCAAGUCGAGCGAAGCUUUUCAGUAGUUUACUACAGAAAAUGACUGAGCGGCGAACGGGUGAGUAACGCGUGAGCAACCUACCUUAGUUACCGGGAUAGCCCGAGGAAACUCGGAUUAAUACCGGAUAUUCUUAUUUAAUCACAUGAUUUUUUAAGGAAAGGUCAGCCGAACUAAGAUGGGCUCGCGUUCUAUCAGCUAGUUGGUAGGGUAACGGCCUACCAAGGCUACGACGGAUAGCUGGUCUGAGAGGACGAUCAGCCACACUGGGACUGAGACACGGCCCAGACUCCUACG